AAGAAGUGAAGGGGUAAAUAGUUGUGUUAAUGUAUGAUAAUCGUUCAAGCCACUUAAGGUUUCCUCCCUUAUAGCCAUACCAAACUGGGCUAUGAUGACUGAAAAAGAUCUCAACGGAACCAAGAGCCCAUCGAAGCACCUGGUUGAGACGAUCUGAUAGAUUGAUUGGAGCAGACCCCUUAAAUGCAGCUAAUUUAGGCAUACAAUAGACUGACCUCCAACCACGGCAGUGCAUCUUGAAACCUGUUAAGAUAUCCUCUGUGAUAGAACCGUAUAUCCAUCCCAGCUGCAAGUUCAAAAGCAGUUACUUCAAUCAAAGAUAUUCAUAAAGGGCGUUCAUAGCACCAGCCUUUUUGUGAUGCUGGAAACCAGGCCUUUUUUCACGAGAAACAUAAACAAGACGAGGGAGUUCAUGUCCAUCCACAUCAGUUCCUCCACUUUGGCCUAAAAAGACUUGAAUCAUACCAGGAUGAUCCCUGGUAUUAUUUCCUGGCCAUGGUGUUCCAUCUUGCAUGAUCCAACCUCCGGGAGGCAUUUUAGUUGCUUUGGCAACUAGUGCAUUGAUUCUUACCUUGAAUUCUUCGUACUCUCUCUGUCAAGUACAAUGAGAUUUGUAACUUGUGACAUGGAAAAUUCUAUGUAGCACUAGCUGAUGAAAGCAAGUGUUCAAGCUUUACCUUCAUUGCUCGUCUCUCCUUAACGAAUGUUGGCUGGAUUUUGUCCUUGAGAUAAUCAAUCUUUAGGGAGAAGUAAAAUUCUGGAGCUCGAGGCUCUAUAGCAAACUUCUUGCAGAAGGGAACCCAUUUUCUAGCAAAUUCUGCAGUUUCUGAUAGUGCUUCAAAGGUGCACAUUGAAGCUCCAUCAUCAGAUAGGUAACAUGAAAUUUUGUCAACAGGGUAAUCCAUUGCUAAUAUUGAGAGGAUUGUAUUAGCUGUAACAAGAGGAGGUUCCUUCAUAGGAUCCACUGUACUGACGAAGACAUCUACCGGGGCUAGCAUAUUUGGUUCUCCUUCCCUCUCAUACCUACAUCAAAAUUUUGGUCAGUGAUGUAUUUCUCUAGUUGUAAAGUUUUAUCUUGAAAAGAUUGCUAGAACUUUAAGAAGCCUCUCGAAAAUGAUUUGACUUGCAGCUCUUGUACAGAAGAUUUUGUGAAAACAAGGUGUAUGUUGGAAAUUAACUUGGCAACUCUAUUGGUUUUAUGUCCAUGCUUAAGGAUUAACUUCUUUUUUGUAUUAGGAGCACAGACUUGCAAAGAAUUGUCACCUGAGAGAGAGACGAUCAAGGUAAGUCUCACGGUCGAUAGGGAACCAUUUGGGAAACUGAUCAAGGAUCCAAGAGAAGGCAAACCAGAUCUCACAGAUGAUAGAAGUUAACCAGAGACCAAUCGCAUCAUGCACUGGAUUCAGAAUUCUAUAACGAAGGAAGACGGCCAGAAUCACCAGCCUAGCUACAAUCACCAUCCGGUAAGGAUUGAUCUUGCUUGAUGCUAUUGGCACUUUUCUUGAUAAAGGCUGUCUUGCUUCAUCCACCCUGCAUUUUCUCACAUCGAUUAGCUGAGAGCAUGUUGCACUUUGUAUUAACUAUUUUAAGCAUCGAAUUAUGUGUUUGAGAAGAAAUCACUGCAAUCAAGUGAAUCUGAUAGUUAUUAGUAAUAGCUAUACCCAAAAAAAAUUCUAACUAUACAUUUCUGUAUAUCUACAAGUGCAUUCUCGUUUUCACUAA